UAAGACACGGCCAUUGAUACUGUUUGACUUGAAUAGUAUGGAAGUAACUAGAAUAUGUAGUGUAGCGGUGAAAUGCUUAGAUAUUACAUGGAAUACCAAUUGCGAAGGCAGGUUACUACGUAUUUAUUGACGCUGAUGAAGAAAGCGUGGGGAGCGAACAGGAUUAGAUACCCUGGUAGUCCACGCCGUAAACGAUGGAUACUAGCUGUUCGGUUUCGGACUGAGUGCUAAGCGAAAGUGAUAAGUAUCCCACCUGGGGAGUACGUUCGCAAGGAAACUAAAGGAAUUGACGGGGGCCCGCACAAGCGGUGGAGCUGUGGUUUAAUUCGAUGAUACGCGAGGAACCUUACCAGGGCUUAAAUGUAGAUUGACAGAUUUGGAAACAGAUUUUUCUUCGGACAAUUUACAAGGUGCUGCAUGGUUGUCGUCAGCUCGUGCCGUGAGGGUCAGGUUAAGUCCUAUAACGAGCGCAACCCCUAUUGUUAGUUACCAGCGCGUAGUGGCGGGGACUCUAGCAAGACUGCCGGUGCAAACCGUGAGGAAGGUGGGGAUGACGUCAAAUCAUCACGGCCCUUACGUCCUGGGCUAACACGUGCUACAAUGCAAGUACAGAGCAGCUACCUGGCAAGGAUGCGAAUCUCCAUUGUCUCAGUUCGGAUUGGAGUCUGCAACUACUCUAUGAAGCUGGAAUCGCUAGUAAUCGGAUAAGCCAUGAUCGUGAAUACGUUCCCGGGCCUUGUACACACCGCCCGUCAAGCCAUGGAAGCUGGGGGUACCUGAAGUCGGUGACCGCAAGGAGCUGCCUAGGGUAAAACUAG
rnacentral:rRNA from 1 species